ACAGGUCAUGUACAGGUUAGUACCACGCUCUACCAACUGAACCCCACGGUCAUGAACAGGUUAGUACCACGCUCUACCAACAACCCCAAGGGUCAUGAACAGGUUAGUACCACGCUCUACCAACAACCCCAAGGGUCAUGAAGAGGUUAGUACCACGCUCUACCAACAGCCCCACGGGUCAUGAACAGGUUAGUACCACGCUCUACCAACAACCACACAGGUCAUGUACAGGUUAGUACCACGCUCUACCAACAGCCCCACGGGUCAUGAACAGGUUAGUACCACGCUCUACCAACUGAACACCACGGGUCAUGAACAGGUUAGUACCACGCUCUACAAACUGAACACCACGGUCAUGAACAGGUUAGUACCACGCUCUACCAACUGAACACCACGGGUCAUGAACAGGUUAGUACCACGCUCUACCAACAACCCCACGGGUCAUGUACAGGUUAGUACCACGCUCUACCAACUGAACCCCACGGGUCAUGUACAGGUUAGUACCACGCUCUACCAACUGAACCCCACGGGUCAUGUACAGGUUAGUACCACGCUCUACCAACAACCCCACGGGUCAUGUACAGGUUAGU